AGAAUCAACGCUGGCGGCGUGCCUAACACAUGCAAGUCGCACGAGAAAGUGGAGCAAUCCACGAGUAAAGUGGCGCACGGGUGAGUAACACGUGAAUAAUCUACCUCCGAGUGGGGAAUAACUGAGAGAAAUCUUAGCUAAUACCGCAUAAUACCCACGGGUCAAAGCAGCAAUGCGCUUGGAGAGGAGUUCGCGGCCGAUUAGCUAGUUGGCGGGGUAAUGGCCCACCAAGGCGAUGAUCGGUAUCCGGCCUGAGAGGGCGCACGGACACACUGGAACUGAAACACGGUCCAGACUCCUACGGGAGGCAGCAGUGGGGAAUUUUGCGCAAUGGGGGAAACCCUGACGCAGCAACGCCGCGUGGAGGAUGAAAUCCCUUGGGAUGUAAACUCCUUUCGAUAGGGAAGAUAAUGACGGUACCUAUAGAAGAAGCCCCGGCUAACUUCGUGCCAGCAGCCGC
rnacentral:rRNA from 1 species